ACGCCUGGAAAACGCUCUUCUGAGAGGAUCUGUGGAGGUCAACCCAGGAGAGAGAAGACAGGACUGAAGCACUGAAAGGGUCCUGCCGUAAGGGCGCAGGAUUGUAUAGAAUAUAUAAUAGCAGUAGCAGCUCUGUUUACGGAGCAUUAACCUUACGUGGAGUUAUUUCCUGCAUUUCCUCCUUUCGUCUUUACAAGGUAGCCGUUUGGCGUCGUGAGAGAUUGGGUCUCUCCACAUUGCCCCGGCUGCUCUCCAACCCCUGAGUUCAAGUGAUUCACCUCCCUUGGCCUCCCAAAGAACUGGGAUUACAGACGUGAGCCACCGUGCCUGGCUGAGAAGAUGGAUUUAAGAUAUGUUUUGGAGGUAACAUUGUCAGGACUUCCUGAAGGAUUAGAUGUGGAAGGGAAGGAUAAGAAACAGACCAAGGAUAACUUUCAAAUGUAUGCUUAAGCAACUGGAUGGAUAAUGAUGCCAUUGAGUGAGUGAAAAACUUGAUGGAAGUGGAAGAUUCAGAGUUCAUUUCUAUCUAGGUUAAUUUGAGACAUACCAGAGCAUAAGUUAAGUAAGUAAUUGAAUAUUGGAGUGGAGACUUAGUCGUCUACCGAAUUAUUGUUUUCUUUGUCGGACAUACACCUACACUGCAUUCCUCAAAGUAAAUUUAAGUGUGGCUCUGUGCCUAUGCUCUCCCCAGCGGAAAGUGAGCAGAAGAGGUGUGCAGUUUCCAGGCCUGGCCCAUACAGACCUCCAACAGGUGCUCCCCUGUGCUGUUACUCCUUCUGCCAACUGGAAGCAGAUGGUGACCAGGCUCUGGAGAAGGCAAGGCCUGAAGAUGGGAGAUUCCUAAGUGGAGGAGAACUGUGCCUUACUGACCUAAAUAUCCACUCAGUAUUGUUAUGUGAGAAUAAAUAAACUUGUGUUGACCGUUUAC
rnacentral:lncRNA from 1 species